GAGAGAGAGAGAGAGAGAGAGAGAGAGAGAGCUCUGUGCUCUCUGACCCGACGCGACCCGGGAACCCGCAGCAGGAUCCGACCAGCGCUACUCCGUCCGGCCACCUCACGACGGCGUGCGGCCACCAGCAGCUUCAUCUCGGUGUCGCCUACGUUCCUGUGGUUCCAGAUCAUACAUGCAGCGACUGGGAAUGAAGAAUCGGCGAUCUAAAGCUUGAAGAACCUCCGGCGUGUUCUGCAGUUCCCAGCGACUCCGGCCACCGUUUGGGCCGCCUGUGAAGCUGUGAAUGGGUGGAAGUCGAUUUGGCAGUAUGUUUAUAGCCGGGUUCUAGGAAAGAGUUGAAUUAGAAGCUUGGGUUCUCACCUGCAAGUCGCACUGCUGAAGGACUCCAGUUACCCGAGGAACAGAAGGUUCGCGACUCUCGGAGUACGUAAGAGAAAGCAUCGGAAUCCAAGUAGGGAUUCAGGACUCUCCUCGGUUAGUGAUUUUCUUAUAUUGUUAUUAAAUGAUGCAUGUUAGUUGGUAUGGUUUGGUCAUGUUCAAAUGCAAUGCAUGCUAAACAAACCAUGUGAGAAAUGUGAUGGCUUGAAAGCGAAGGGUGGCUCUGACUUCCUUGGGUUCGAUCCCCAAAACCUCUGAAGGGUUAGUUACACCGGUCGGACGGUGAGCGAUCGCAAUGACAAUCCGAUCCGUGUGUGUAGCUAGGUAGCGGACGCUCUCGCUACGCUUACCUGGUGAUAAAUUAAAUUGAGGUAAGGUCGUGUAGUGGGUCUAUAGGACCGGCCAUCAGGUAAAAUUUGGAUUUGGCGCCGUAUUUAUUUAAGCAUCAUGCAUCGGUUUUCAAGUUGAAAAACAUUAAAGUUUGUCGUUCCUUUAAAUAUUUGGUUUAAGCAUGUUUUCAUACUGGAGCUCCAAACAUUUAUCGGUUGAUUUUCAAACCUAGUCGAGUUAGAGUUCCUGUUGAGCAGCGAGGACGAAAGCUCACCCCUACAACAGUAUGAAUGCAGAUACUGUGCACUGGUGACGGGACAAUAGCGGAUGGAGCUGGGUGUGCAGAACAAGUUAGGUUCAAAAAAUAUGUAGUGAUCGGUGGAUCAGUAAGUGCAAAUCGCGAUCAUAAUGGUACAGAUCAACAUGGCAAUGAUGGCCAAAGCUGCAAAUCUUGAUCGGCAGGGAGUUCCAAUAUGACGACAAAUUCCUACUAAGGUGUUUGCAGGCUGGAUUAUUGUGGUCGAGCGUACAUGAAACCGAGGCAUAGUUGUCACUGCUUCCGCAUUGUAGGAUUUAUCGAUCCUUUGCCUUUCUAUUUUAUUUUCUUGUAUAUUUUGUGUACUAGAUUGCUUUGAUAAACUAUGGGCUAAUUGUUCUGAAGUUGAGAUUUGUGUUGUGUUGUGGAGUUUGUUGUGAUUUGGGGAGCAGGGUAGCUCCAAGAGUUGAGGAUGGUGUUGGUAUUAGAAGUGUAAAUGUCUUUCUACAAGUUUUGGGUAGUCCACUUUUACGGGAAGUUCCGCCA